rnacentral:rRNA from 1 species
UGAGUAACCUGCCCCUCACUCUGGGAUAACUCCGGGAAACCGGGGCUAAUACUGGAUAUGACUCGAACAGGCAUCUGUUUCGGGUGGAAAGAUUUAUUGGGUGGGGGAUGGACUCGCGGCCUAUCAGCUUGUUGGUGAGGUAAUGGCUCACCAAGGCGACGACGGGUAGCCGGCCUGAGAGGGCGAUCGGCCACACGUGGGACUGAGACACCGGCCCAGACCUCCGUACGGGAGGCA